rnacentral:tRNA from 1 species
GCUCCACUGGUCUAGUGGUCUGGACACCUGGUUCUCACCCAGGAGGUGAGGGUUCAAUCCCCUCGUGGAGUAC